rnacentral:rRNA from 1 species
CCUACGUGAGGCAGCAGUAGGGACUCUUCCACAAUGGGCGAAAGCCUGAUGGAGCAACGCCGCGUGGGUGAAGAAGGUCUUCGGAUCGUAACACCCUGUUGUUAGAGAAGCAAGUGCGUGAGAGUAACUGUUCCCGUUUCGACGGUAUCUAACCAGAAAGCCACGGCUAACUCCGUGCCAGCAGCCGCGGUAAUUCGGAGGUGGCAAGCGGUAUCCGGAAUUAUUUGGCGUACAUGGAACGCAGGCGGUCUUUUAAGGUUGAUGUGAAAGCCUUAGGUUUAACCAGAGUAGUGCAUUGGAAACUUGGAGACUUGAGUGCAGAAGAGGGGAGUGGAACUCCAGGUGUAGCGGUGAAAUGCGUAGAUAUAUGGAAGAACACCAGUGGAGAAAGCGGCUCUCUGGUCUGUAACUGACGCUGAGGUUCGAAAGCGUGGGUAGCAAACAGGAUUAGAUACCCCUGUAGUC